UGAGGAAUAUUGGUCAAUGGGCGGGAGCCUGAACCAGCCAAGCCGCGUGAGGGAAUAAGGCGCCAAGCGUCGUAAACCUCUUUUGUCAGGGAACAAAAGCGGGCACGCGUGCCCGUCCGAGUGUACCUGAAGAAAAGCAUCGGCUAACUCCGUGCC
rnacentral:rRNA from 1 species